rnacentral:rRNA from 1 species
CCCUUAGAUGUCCUGGGCCGCACGCGCGUUACACUGAUGCAUUCAACGAGCUUAUAACCUUGGCCGAGAGGCCUGGGCAAUCUUGUUAACGUGCAUCGUGAUAGGGAUAGAUUAUUGAAAUUAUUAAUCUUGAACGAGGAAUUCCUAGUAAACGCAGAUCAUCAAUCUGCAUUGAUUACGUCCCUGCCCUUUGUACACACCGCCCGUCGCUCCUACCGAUUGAAUGCUCAGGUGAGCCAUUCGGACUUUCAUCAUGCUGGUUUCCAGUUUUGAUGAAGGAAAGUCUUGCGAACCUUACCAUUUAGAGGAAGGAGAAGUCGUAACA